rnacentral:sRNA from 1 species
UGAGCCUUUGCUCGCCCACCUGUCCUGGU